GGGACUGACGGCGUGCUUACCAUGCAGUCGAACGGAAAGGCCCUUCGGGGUGCUCGAGUGGCGAACGGGUGAGUAACACGUGGGUGAUCUGCCCUGCACUUUGGGAUAAGCCUGGGAAACUGGGUCUAAUACCGGAUAGGACUACGCACUGCAUGGUGUGUGGUGGAAAGCUUUUGCGGUGUGGGAUGGGCCCGCGGCCUAUCAGCUUGUUGGUGGGGUGAUGGCCUACCAAGGCGACGACGGGUAGCCGGCCUGAGAGGGUGUCCGGCCACACUGGGACUGAGAUACGGCCCAGACUCCUACGGGAGGCAGCAGUGGGGAAUAUUGCACAAUGGGCGCAAGCCUGAUGCAGCGACGCCGCGUGAGGGAUGACGGCCUUCGGGUUGUAAACCUCUUUCAGCAUCGACGAAGCGCAAGUGACGGUAGAUGCAGAAGAAGCACCGGCCAACUACGUGCCAGCAGCCGCGGUAAUACGUAGGGUGCGAGCGUUGUCCGGAAUUACUGGGCGUAAAGAGCUCGUAGGUGGUUUGUCGCGUUGUCCGUGAAAACUCACAGCUUAACUGUGGGCGUGCGGGCGAUACGGGCAGACUGGAGUACUGCAGGGGAGACUGGAAUUCCUGGUGUAGCGGUGGAAUGCGCAGAUAUCAGGAGGAACACCGGUGGCGAAGGCGGGUCUCUGGGCAGUAACUGACGCUGAGGAGCGAAAGCGUGGGGAGCGAACAGGAUUAGAUACCCUGGUAGUCCACGCCGUAAACGGUGGGUACUAGGUGUGGGUUUCCUUCCUUGGGAUCCGUGCCGUAGCUAACGCAUUAAGUACCCCGCCUGGGGAGUACGGCCGCAAGGCUAAAACUCAAAGGAAUUGACGGGGGCCCGCACAAGCGGCGGAGCAUGUGGAUUAAUUCGAUGCAACGCGAAGAACCUUACCUGGGUUUGACAUGCACAGGACGCCGGCAGAGAUGUCGGUUCCCUUGUGGCCUGUGUGCAGGUGUGCCUGGCUGUCGCCGCUCGUGU
rnacentral:rRNA from 1 species